UACCUAACUGGGUUAGGGCCCUGGCUCCAUCUCCUUUAGGAAAACCUUCUGUGGGGAGUGGGGCUUUGACCCUAACCUAGCUGGGCU
rfam:TPA: Bos taurus chromosome 28, whole genome shotgun sequence.